UUGAUUUGAAGAUUUGAGUGAGUAUAUGAGUUCUUGAGCAUGCUAUGAUGUUAAGUGAUGGUUUAGAUUGAUGAUUAGAAGUGAUGAAAUGAGUUUUGGGAUGAGUUGUUGUUGAGAAUUAUGAUGUUAUAUUCAAGUUAGAGAUAUUAUUAAGAUAUAUAAGUUUUAAAUACAAAUUGGAGAAUUUCGUAGGCCUACUGACCUACUGUGAUCGAUGGUUUUUAGAUGUCUAAUAGCUUUGAAAAUUUUAUAGCAAGUUUCUACAUGAGUCUUGAGUACCCUGGU
rnacentral:lncRNA from 1 species